GGGUUCUAGCUCUCAGGUAAAUACAGUGUUCGAUACACAGGUGGGUAUUCACAGGGCUGGGCUGUUAGCGUGCAGGGGUUCUAGCUCUCAGGUAAGUACAGUGUUCGAUACACAGGUAAGUAUUCACAGGGCUGAGCUGUUAGCGUGCAGGGGUUCUAGCUCUCAAUGUAAGUACAGUGUUCCAUACACAGGUGGGUAUUCACAGGGCUGAGCUGUUAGCGUGCAGGGGUUCUAGCUCUCAAUGUAAGUACAGUGUUCCAUACACAGGUAAGUAUUCACAGGGCUGAGCUGUUAGCGUGCAGGGGUUCUAGCUCUCAAUGUAAGUACAGUGUUCCAUACACAGGUGGGUAUUCACAGGGCUGGGCUG